rnacentral:lncRNA from 1 species
AGUGCUGGCGAGAGGCAGAGAAGCUGGAUCCUCAUGCAUCACUGAGGGUGAGAGACGGCGCAACCACUCUGGAGACUGUUUGGAAGUUCCUGUAAAAACUAAACAUGUAACUGUUCUGUGACCCGGCAGUUGCUCUCCUGGGCAUUUAUCCCAGUGGAUUGAAGACGCUGUUCACAGACAAACCUGAACUUGAAUGUUCGGGAUCGCCAGCACAGGACCUGACUACUGUUACAUGCAGUGACUGGAAGCCUGUCCUGGGAGCCGAGGAGCAGUGCGAAAGCCGGGCACAGAAGGCCGCCUCCUGCACGUUCCCGGAUCAUGCUCUGGAGAGCACAGCCACGGCGUCGGGAUAGCACAGCCACGGCGUCGGGAUAGCACAGCGGCUGCCGUUGAGGGGCUGCCAGUGGCUGUAAGGGGCGCCUCGGGUGCUCGUGCCCUGGGACAUCUGGAUCUGGACUCCAUCAUGUCCCUCUCCUGGUGCGGCGUUGACCUUGGGUCCUCGUGAUGUUACCACCAGAGGAAGUGGUGAAGGGCACAGAGGGUCUCUCUACAGUUGUUUCUUACAGCUGCAAUGUGAAUUCACAAUUUUCUCAAAGUAAGUUUAAUUAAAAAACAACAACAACAACAAAUGCAAACAGAAGCCUCCCCCAAGCACGUCAUUAACUGCAUUGGUAGAAAAGAAUCACUCACUACGCGUAAACGCUACACAAGUUGGAGACAGAUCCAGGGGCCUCAGAUGCCUCGGUGUGACUUCAUCGCUUCAGAGUUAGGAGACUGGCUCACUGAUACCACUCUUUGGACCACAGUUACAUUUUCACUAUUGUCUCCUUGUUGGUCUUGGGUGAGACGGAAUCAGCUGCGUCCGCUGGGACUUGUGACCUGGGGCCUGUGCUGUGAGAACGUCUACUCGGGAGGCUCUGCUGGCCCUGGGCCCUCACUUGGGGUGGGUGCUGUUUCCUACGGACGCGCCCAGGUGCCCUCUCUCCAGCCAGCUCCUCCCACUGCAAGUGAAGGCAGAGGCGUCCACCCCAAGUCACCAGAGCGCAGGUGCAGAGAGGAAAAGCUGUCAGCUAGUGCCAGCCUCCAAGGGCCAGCGCUACCCUUCAACAGCUGGAGGCACCACUGUGCGAGGCUUUCCACACCGGCCUCCCUCAGGAACAAGACAUCCUCACCAGGCAGGGGUGAGGUAUGGGCUCCAGGACUGGCUUCAGCAGGCACCAGGCUGAAGAAGAGACAAGACAAGCUCAGGCUGGUCAGCUCCAACACACACCAUUCCCAGCCAGGGGACCCUCACCCCUCUGGGCCCUGUGUGGGGACUGACACGGUUCCUGCAGGAAACCAUUUGUGCCGUUUCCCACACACCCGGCAGCCUGAGCUAUGUGGCUGACAGGUGCUCAUGACUAACGUGUCCUCGGAAGGGCACCCCAUCUGGGGAGCGGGAAGGGAGGUUCACUGCACUGCUCUUAACCUGCAUUCACACGUUUGAAAUUUUUCCUAAUAAAAAUGUAAAAAGCAC